CCCAGACAUCAAAGCUGAGCUUUCUUUGUCUCCGGCAGCCUGGGCCACUCCAGAGGUGUUAAAGCUCCAGCACUUCGAGCCUGCCUCGUGGGAAAGUCUUAGGCUGAGUCUGGGCUGGAAACCUAACAAUUUCACUUCCUAGACAACUUGCUAAAAGUCACCUAAAGACAGUCUGGUUACUGCCAAAGAUAUGCUUUCAAAUAAGAUUUGGAUAAAGAAGGGAGGUAGAUGCCUUUUUUCAGCAGUGGAGUGAUGUCUAGACCAGUAGAUGUACGCAUCUAAGUGAAUUCAUCACCAGCAACAAUUUCCAGAAACUUCCUGACCUCCAGAUUGCAGCUUCAUUAGUGUGAGUUUAAAGCCAACUAGAUGCCAUUCUCAGAUUCCACGCAUAUGGCCAAGGGUCCAGGAAAUAAGAAGAAACAGGUUGAGGGGUUGGUGUUAUGGGGCAUUUACUUGAAUUUUCUAUGCUAUAAUUGUCUCAUCUUUAAAACGGUGAUAAUAAUAAAAUUGUCAGUUAUUAAAUAAAUUAACACAGUGAAAAAAAA
rnacentral:lncRNA from 10 species